GCGGCUUUUCAUUGGCGGGUCCGCCGCCCGCCCCGCCGCGGUCGAGGAUCCUGGAGGUUUGUCCCCACCGCCCCGACGCUUCCGCCCCAUCCGUCGGCACGUCGGCCCUGCCUCCCAGACCACCCUGCGGGGCGCACCAGCGAUCUGGAGUGCGGGGCUCGGCCUCCCUGCGCUCCUGGCUGACGGUGUGACCUUGGACGGCUUCGUGCCCCUGGGCGCCCUCCUGCAGUUGCCCCAGUUCCGCGGCUUCUCUGCUGAAGAUGUGCAGCGCGUGGUGGACACCAAUAGGAAGCAGCGGUUCGCCCUGCAGCCCGGGGAUCCCAGCACUGGCCUUCUCAUCCGGGCCAACCAGGGCCAUUCCCUGCAG
rnacentral:sRNA from 1 species